rnacentral:rRNA from 1 species
UACGAAGGGGGCUAGCGUUGCUCGGAAUCACUGGGCGUAAAGCGCACGUAGGCGGAUCUUUAAGUCAGGGGUGAAAUCCUGGAGCUCAACUCCAGAACUGCCUUUGAUACUGGGGAUCUCGAGUCCGGAAGAGGUGAGUGGAACUCCGAGUGUAGAGGUGAAAUUCGUAGAUAUUCGCAAGAACACCAGUGGCGAAGGCGCUCACUGGCCCGAUACUGACGCUGAGGAGAA